UUUGUAUGAGUAUGCUAACAAGAGAAAUCCUCUCGAAGAAACAGCUCCAAUUAGAGUUUUUGGACCAUGGAGUACUAACUUUGUUGAAGAAUUAGCUUGAGCCACUUCUCGAUGAAAGCUUGUCAAAUAUUAACAUACGCACAACAAUUUUGAGUAUUUUAAAUGAUGUACUAAGUUUUCACCAUUAUAAAUAUUUUUUUAUUCAA